UGUGUGGUGUAGGGUUUGUUCAUUGACUCGUUAUAGAUGUAGUUGUGGGGAAUGUUGGCUGGCUCGAGGCUUUCUUGAGUGAUUUUAUGUAUGCCUCAAAAAGCUUCGGACCAGGCUUCAUUCCCCUCAACAAACUUCCAAUAAUCCAAUACUACCACCCUCCUCCUCCUCUUCUUCAUCUUCCCCGCGUGAAGGUUGGGUUGAGAGGAAUGUUGUCUGGCUCGAGGUAUCAUUUAUUUUUCUUUUCUUUUCUUCGGGUUUUUGUUGGAUUGAAUUUAACCCCAAAAUGAAAGAAAGAAAGAAAGAAAGAAAGAAGAAGAAAUAUAAGGUGAUGAGUGAUUCUCGGACCAGGCUUCAUUCCCCUCAACCGGCAUUUGCUCUAUAAGCUGGCUGCUCUCAUGCAUACUUCUCUUGGGUUUGGACGACAGAAAGGAGAGAUGACAUGACAUGUGUGACAAGUAGAUGAGUUGUUGUUAGGGUUGUUUGAACUGUCAAAAUUUGUUUGAUAUCGUGGGAUGAAGAAGACGGGGCCCUGUUUGUAUCUUGUCUAUCCUAUCAAUCCAAAUUUUCUUUUUGUCCA